GGGACGGGUUCGGCAGUCUACUUUUAUAACAAAUAUUACGGCGUCGGUGAGGAUGAACCCGCCACGGUGGAGAUCGUGGACCGUGCUGUUACGGUUGAAGAGGAUCAUGAUCCCACCCUGGACCAGGAGGACCCAGUCCUUGUUCAGUUUGUGGAUGAGGAGGUUGGGCAGCGUCCCUGUCUGGCUUUAGUCCCUUGGUCUGGACCGCUGUGGGUUCCCAGCUCUCUGACUUAUUACCUUACCCUUGCUGGGAGGAUGAUAGUGAAAGAGCUGGCAGUGUUAAACACACAGAUUUUCAUGAUGGAGCAGCCUAUUUUCAUCUGUUUCACUCCUGUAGGGAGGUUGGUGUGGGAGGAACUGUCUUCUCAAACUGAACAGGUAUCCAUUCAUAUGCAGUAUGUGGAUGAGGAGGUUCAGCAGCAGCCCGGUCUGACUUUAAUCUCUUGGUCUGGACCUCAGUGGGUUUCAAGCGCCCCUGUCAAACUGCAGCCAACAUAUUACUUUACCCAUGCUGGGAACACGCUGGUGAGAGAGCUGUCAGUAUUAAAUACACAGAUUUUCAUGAUGGAGCAGCCGAUUUUCAUCUGUUUCACUCC
ensembl:lncRNA